rnacentral:ncRNA from 1 species
CCCACUAAGUUUAAGCAUAUAAAUAAGUGGAGGAGAAGAAACUUACAAGGAUUGCCCUAGUAACGGCUAGCGAAUUGUAGCCCGGCUUAAGAAUCAGGUAGCUUCAUUGCCCGAAUUGUAGUCUGCAGAGGUGUCCUUAGAGAUGGACUGGGCCCAAGUUCCCUAUAAAGGGACACCUAGGAGGAUGAGAGCCCCAUCUGGCCCGAACCCUGUCUCACCACGAGGUGCCGUCAACAAGUCAGAUUGUUUGGGAAUGCAGCCCAAAUUGGGCGGUAAACUCCGUCCAAGGCUAAAUAUAGGCGAGAGACCGAUAGUGAACAAGUACCGCGAGGGAAAGAUGAAAAGGACUUUGAAAAGAGAGUCAAAGAUUGCUUGAAAUUGCUGGGAGGGAAGUGGAUGGGGGCCGGCGAUGCGCCCUGGUCGUAUGUGAAAUGACUUCUGCUGGUUUGCCUAUCGGCUUGGUGCUGCAACAGCAUGCGGGCUCCCCAUCUGACCUGUCUUGAAACACGG